rfam:Triticum aestivum genome assembly, contig: Triticum_aestivum_CS42_TGACv1_scaffold_158389_2DL
GAGGUACUCCCUCCGUCCGAAAAAAUUUGUCCCAAGCUUGUCUCUCAAAUGAAUGUAUCUAGAACUAAUUUGAUGCUAGAUACAUUUAUUUGGGGGACAAGCUUUUUUGGACAGAGGGAGUAUGGG